UCUUGGCUCGCUAUGGCUACACAUGUGGUAAACAAUGCAGAGAAGGAUUGCAUGGCCCCUACACAAUGAUGGCAUGCAGAUUUGUGAAGAAUUGAAUAUUUUU